rfam:Ruminococcus sp. CAG:17 genomic scaffold, scf43
ACUGUGGAGUGUACUUAGGAUCUGUGAGUAGAGAUAACGCAAGUUACUCAAAAGCAUACACGAAGAAACAGUAA